AUUCAGCCUCUUAUUCCUCACACAAAGUAAGCUAUACUGUCAUUUAAAAAAUAUACAAUAAAUAAAGUAUACAAACAAAUUUCAAAUAUUAAUUUCAAAAAUAAAUAAAAAUCAAAAAAGCAUAAAAAAAUGAACCAUCAUGAAUUAUGAUCAGCUCCAAUGGAUGCCAACACGUUCAGCGCGUUUGCAUGAGAUCGAUCUAACGCAGCGGCCCAAAUCCGAUUAUGUCACCCUGUCUCUACUGGGCUUCUAUAUUGUUGGCGGCAUCCUGCUAGCCAUGAGCCUCUUCUCAGUGAUUUGCAUUGUCAUUAUGAUAUGCUGCGGGAGCUUGAUUUUUGGCCCAACCAAUGAGGGUUUGUUAUAGAAUGUAAAUGCAACCCGAGAACCGCAAUUAUCGAUUUGUGCUCUGAUUUUGAUAUUGAAAAAUGUAGACAAGAUUCAUUUUUUAAUAACAAAAUCAGAGUGCGAAAUGUAAUACGGAAUAUGGUCAGGAAUUUGACGGGAGAUACUUGGGAGCGUGAUAUAGUGGAACUGAAGCACUCGAGGAAGUUAUACUGAAGACCGUGGAGGGGAGAAGAAGAGAAGGCGUAUGAUGCUUGAGUUCAAUAUAAAAAACAAAUGAGAGACAGAGAGAUAGAGAAAGUGAGAGCAUAUUUAUUCAAGUUGUAUGCACUAUGUAUGAAUGUGUAUGUGUGUGAAGUAACAUCAAAAUCUGUUCAGUAAACGGUAAUAAAAGUAUCAAAAUUUGUUGUAGAAAGAGCAAAAA